UGCGAACGGCUCAUUAAAUCAGUUAUCGUUUAUUUGAUAGUGAUCUUAUUUACUUGGAUAACCGUGGUAAUUCUAGAGCUAAUACAUGCUUAAAAUCCCGACCUCUGGAAGGGAUGUAUUUAUUAGAUAAAAAACCAAUGCUCUUUUGGGCUUCUUGGUGAUUCAUGAUAACUUAACGAAUCACAUGGCCUUGUGUCGGUGAUGGUUCAUUCAAAUUUCUGCCCUAUCAACUUUCGAUGGUAGGAUAGUGGCCUACCAUGGUUUCAACGGGUAACGGGGAAUUAGGGUUCGAUUCCGGAGAGGGAGCCUGAGAAACGGCUACCACAUCCAAGGAAGGCAGCAGGCGCGCAAAUUACCCAAUCCCGACUCGGGGAGGUAGUGACAAGAAAUACUGAUACAGGGCCCAUCUGGGUCUUGUAAUUGGAAUGAGUACAAUUUAAAGCCUUUAACGAGGAACAAUUGGAGGGCAAGUCUGGUGCCAGCAGCCGCGGUAAUUCCAGCUCCAAUAGCGUAUAUUAAAGUUGUUGCAGUUAAAAAGCUCGUAGUUGAACUUUGGGUCUGGGCGACCGGUCCCCCGAUUUGGGUGUGUACUGGAAACCCGGAUCUUUCCUUCUGGAGAACCUCAUGCCCUUCAUUGGGUGUGUUGGGGAACUAGGACUUUUACUUUGAAAAAAUUAGAGUGUUCAAAGCAGGCUUUUGCUCGAAUACAUUAGCAUGGAAUAAUAAAAUAGGACGUGCGGUUCUAUUUUGUUGGUUUCUAGGACCGCCGUAAUGAUUAAUAGGGAUAGUCGGGGGCAUCCGUAUUCGAUUGUCAGAGGUGAAAUUCUUGGAUUUUUCGAAGACGAACUACUGCGAAAGCAUUUGCCAAGGAUGUUUUCAUUAAUCAGGAACGAAAGUUGAGGGAUCGAAGACGAUCAGAUACCGUCGUAGUCUCAACCAUAAACUAUGCCGACUAGGAAUCGGGCGAUGUUUUCAAUUUGACUCGCUCGGCACCUUACGAGAAAUCAAAGUUUUUGGGUUCUGGGGGGAGUAUGGUCGCAAGGCUGAAACUUAAAGGAAUUGACGGAAGGGCACCACCAGGAGUGGAGCCUGCGGCUUAAUUUGACUCAACACGGGGAAACUCACCAGGUCCAGACACAUUAAGGAUUGACAGAUUGAGAGCUCUUUCUUGAUUAUGUGGGUGGUGGUGCAUGGCCGUUCUUAGUUGGUGGAGUGAUUUGUCUGCUUAAUUGCGAUAACGAACGAGACCUUAACCUGCUAAAUAGCCGGGUUCGCGUUUGCGAGAUUCUGGCU
rnacentral:rRNA from 1 species